UCCGUAGGUGAACCUGCGGUAGGGAUCAUUA
rnacentral:rRNA from 1 species